rnacentral:rRNA from 1 species
UACAGAGGGGGCAAGCGUUGUUCGGAAUUACUGGGCGUAAAGGGCGCGUAGGCGGCCCGCUAAGUCGAACGUGAAAUCCCCGAGCUCAACUCGGGAACUGCGUCCGAUACUGGUGGGCUUGAAUCCGGGAGAGGGAUGCGGAAUUCCAGGUGUAGCGGUGAAAUGCGUAGAUAUCUGGAGGAACACCGGUGGCGAAGGCGGCAUCCUGGACCGGCAUUGACGCUGAGGCGCGAAAGCUAGGAGAGCAAACGGG